CUGCCACACCGCACGCUGGCAGGCUGCGAGCUGCUCACGCUGGAGGUGUGGACUGCAGCGACUGUCCGACGGCGUGGACAUCACUGGUUGACGGUGGUGCAGUGGGUGGCAGACUACAGUGUGGUGGGGUGUGCACGCGCGCCGGCAUUCAGGCCAUAGACAAAGCUAUCCUUGCGCUGUUAUUGAUGGCUAUUGUCCUUGCCUUGCUGCCUACAAGAUUGCUUAUCCUGGCGAUGUUUCUGGAGGUGUUCACGAACCACUCUCCACUAAGGAGAGCAAGCACAGAGAGAUGCACCAGAAGGUUGAGAGAGUGGUAGUUCAGCAUACCUGCAACGCCAGUAGUGGUGGAGAAGGAUAACAAAGAAGAUAAGAAGACAAAAUGAAUUUGUGUGUAUAAACUGUGAUUCCGUGUCUAGUUUGGCUGAUGUGGUGAUGGAUCACCAGCGCACCGCUGUGUACAAUGUCUGAGGAUAUGAUAAAUGAACUGCAGUUAGUAUUUCAAUAAGAAUGUUAGCUCCUUUUUGCUCCUUUCUGUGCUCUACCCUGAUAUCUCAAAACUAGUCUAUUUCAUGGGAAUGUAUUAUGCAUGUGCUCUACCCUGAUAUCUCAAAACUAGUCUAUUUCAUGGGAAUGUA